UACGAAGGGGGCUAGCGUUGCUCGGAAUCACUGGGCGUAAAGCGCACGUAGGCGGCUUUCUAAGUCAGGGGUGAAAUCCUGGAGCUCAACUCCAGAACUGCCUUUGAUACUGGAGAGCUUGAGUCCGGGAGAGGUGAGUGGAACUCCGAGUGUAGAGGUGAAAUUCGUAGAUAUUCGCAAGAACACCAGUGGCGAAGGCGGCUCACUGGCCCGAUACUGACGCUGAGGCGCGAAAGCGUGGGGAGCAAACAGG
rnacentral:rRNA from 1 species